UUCCCUCUCCACCCCGUUUCUUGAUCUGGAAUUCUUGAAAUCUCGAUCCUUGCUUCCUCCUCGCGAGGGCCCUCCGCGCCCAACUUCGGAUGCUCCCGAUCGGCGGCGGUGGGCCGACCAACAGCGGCGGACCACCGUCACCGCUUCGUUCCUCCUCUUCCUCCUCCUCCAUCCUAUCGCCGUUGGCUCCUCCUUUCACUGUCUGUAGCCAAUACCCCGCCUUCCCUUAGCCGAUCUCCGCCGCCGGCGACUGGCCUCCCUCCUCCGCCACGGCAUUACCGCUUUCCUCUCUUACCCCUGGUCUCCGCUCUAUGCCAAGCAGUAGUGUCUUCGAAUCGGCUACUCUGUAUUUACCCUAGUUAUGCUCCGUUGGCGGUGGCUUGCCGGGGUCCGGCGAUGAUGGCCUGCAACAUUUGCCAGGUCUUGAGAGUCACGGGGAUAGGUUCUGUCCUUUGGAGUGGACCCUUUCGUGGAGAGGAAAGGGGAAGAGAGAAGGGUUUUGGCGGUAGUUUGUCUUGGAUGGACCGCUCUUCGAGUUACUGUCCUCCUUGUUGUAUGAAGUUUUUACAUGUGAUGAAAAAUUAAAGCAUGGGAGGUCUAUCACAACAUCUUCCAACAACCAAAGAGAAGUUUGAUCUCAUUGUCUGUUUUGUAUUGUUGAGCUCUACUUUUCUUUUCGAGUGUUGGUUAAUCUUGUACAUUGUUAUCUUUUGCUGAGAAUAUUCAAUAUAAAUUUCAUUUUACAGGUUACAUAAUAAAAAUGGUUCUUUUAUCUGGUAUGCAUUUUGCCUGCUUUAUUUGAUGCUUCAGAAAUAUGUUCAUUUUGCAUGGCUAUGUUCGCCAAAUCCACUGCAAUGAAUUCUGCCUCCAUAUGACUGUUCUCAGGACUUCACCGGGGAAAGUUCUAAUGUUUUUGGGAUUGAGGUUGCACCACCUCAGUUUGAAGUUUCAAAGACUGAUAAUGGUCUGAAAAUGAGCAGCAAUAAAGGUGCCAGGGGCCAAAGGCAUGAAGUGUAAGAGUCAGUGGGCUUGGUGUUGACAAUCAUAAAGUCAAACAAUUUUGAAGGUUUUGAUACAGAUUCCAGGACACACAUGGCCCAGGCCUUAAUAAGGUUUCAAGGGGAGGUUUUGACUAGGAAGAGGACCUUCAGACUAUUUUACAAGACUCAGUAGCCUGAGGCCAAAGUUGCGUUGUGUUUGCAAAUUCUCAUGAUUCAUCAGAUGUGGAAUGUAAGCCUUCACAGUUGACCAAACUAGAAGUUUGAAUUCGAUGAACUACCUUAACUGGAAUGAUGACCAAACGAUGCAGCAAUACUUCAACCAAGGGGGGCUGAUGGAGGCAAAAAUAGUAGUACGAAACCUCAUGAAGUUAAAACAAACCGGGCGGAUCAAUUUCGUAACUGUUGGAGGUCGUGGUGGAACAAAAGAAGCUCUGUGCAGCCAUUGCCGCUGGACUGAACCUAGCAGAACCUAGCUGUCAGCAAAGCUUGCUGAUUUGGGGUUUAGUCAGCAGAACCAACAAUCAUGUGCUCAUGAUGAACCUAGCAGUUACUUGAAAUCCUGUGAAGUAACCACAAACAAGACAGAUGUGGUUGAUUCCUCUGUUAUGGCUAGACUCGACAGUUAAAAGGACGAGUAGAUGCUUCAAACUCUACCGGUGCAUAAGAGUAUCCAGAAAAACUGGACUGUGGAUGCUUGAGGCUGCUUGAAAACAAAAGAGACUGUGUGCAGAAUUAAUUUAGAUAGUAGUGAAAAUACAGCUGGUGUUACGCCAGCAAAGAUUUCUGAUUUGGCUUUUUUUCAGCAGAAUCAGUAGGCAUAUACUCCAGAUGAACCUAGCAGUUGUAGGCUUCGUGAUGUAAAGACGUACAGGGCAGAUGAGGUUGAUUCCUCUGUCAUGGCCUGACUCAGAAUUCUAAAAGGAUGGAUUGAUAAUUUAACUCUAUCAAUUUGGGGGAGCAUCCUAUGCUGCUCCACUCUGUAGACGUUGAAGGUUGCUUGGGAAGAAGAGAUGCCUUGUGCAGCUUACUCUUCAAGUGGUGCAAAAAUUAAAAAAUACUGCUAGGCAGAGAGUCAGAAAAUUACACGCUGACAAGGGUUGCUGGCUUGAGCUUCCUGCAGAAGAACAGCGUAUCUGAAGUUGAACCCAGCAAAUCUAGCAAAACUUGCCGACUCGAGCUUCAUGCAGGAGAACAGCGUGUCUGAAAAUGAAGGCAGCAGAAGUUCAGUACCAAAGAGCAGUUCCAGCAUCCAGCAUCUUGCAUCUUGAUACAAAUGCCAAUGAUGAAAUUGAACUGUAUAUCAAAACAACAAUUCAAAGUCAGCAUUCAGAGAAUCCCCUGUAAAAAGCAAAAGACAAGCUUUGGCCAGCAAUAUUUUGGAUCCUUUGUUUCAAGAAAA